UGUAUUAUACUGAAUGUCUGUAUAAAAUCUGUAGGCUUAUGCGUGUCUGUAUCGCAACACAGAAAGUCUGUAUAAUACAGAUUUGUCUGUAUAUCUGGCAUCUCUGCUUGUGCGAUACUUAUACUGACAGUGGCAGCUUUUCAGUGGUUCCAGCUCGUAUCAACUAGCUGGCAUCUCCAUCCGAUUUGCUUUGCUUUAUCGCAGCCAACAACGCAGCGGUUCUAAGAUGUGUGGGCUCCACUGACGCUUACAGACAGCAUAACAUAGCGUAUCAAAAGUGGCGGUGAUCUCGUGUACACAUUGAGAUGUUACCCCUUGUAACAUGUCAGCUAGCUGGUCCGUAUGCAUAAAAGAAUAUCGAUACAAAUAUCGCGGUUUUCAGUAUCGAUACGGUCGAGUAUCGGACGCUCGUGUAUCGAUCCAAAAAAUCGAAAUAUCGUCUCAAAAGUAUCGAUAUUUCCGAUACCGAUACAAUAUCGCCCAUUGCUAGUCAUCACUCUUAAACAAAACUGCGAAUAAAUCAAACCACGUUUUUCUUUUCUCUGGUUAUCCGAUCUGGAUUUCUAGUUCAUACUAGUGGAUUUCCGAAUCCCACUUCACAUUAUAUAGAUGUUUUUCGAUGAUUUUGACUAGGUUUUGUUUCGAAGUAGCACGAACCCGCAAUAAUUGUAUUCUAAUGAUGAUAAUUUCGUCGUUUUGAUAAAAAAUUGUUUUGGCUCUUAUAUGCGUUUGCAUUAUUUUGGAUUCUUGUGGCUUUGGAUGCAUGAAGCUUUGCCGGCUUUCAUGAUUAAUAGAAAUUCGAAAAAUGUGACGGACGUCAUCUUUUUCAAGAGGAUAACGUUUGCGGUAAAAAAAAUGGUACCCCCCCACGUCAAAAACGGACAUCGUGCGGCACUUUGUAGACGCCUGGUAUGCCGUUCCGGCAUCUACAAUAUCUUGACACAAUUGGACAACGAUCAAAGCAUCGGAAGAAAGCCCAGUUCUGUGAUUUGUACCUCUGACCAGAUGGUAUCCCUAGUGUUUAGUGAUGCAGAUGGCAGAUGGCGGCCCAGCAGCAGCAGCCUUAGUAUGAUGCCCCGGAGCAGAUUUUGGAGUCCCUCUCAUCGAACCUCAUUUCCUCCGCCACCAUUAGAAGAUCCACCACAACUCAUGGCUGAAGAACAACAACUUCUCGAUACUGCUGAACAGCUACUAGACAAUGUAGAAAAGGUUUCUGAGCAGUUAGACGAUGGAGAGCCAAAAAUCCUUAAUCGUCCUAGACGGCUCAUUUCGCUGCCUACCAAAUUUCAAGGGUACUGGUUGUUUUAAGAGGGGGGGAUUGUACAUCAAGGCAACCAGUGAAAAGUUGUCCUUGACAUCAGAGUGGAAAAUUUGACUAUUCUUUGUCCAACUUCGAAUAGAAAUAGAUGUUCUUUAGUAAAAACUCCUAAGUUCAUUUAAACCUUUGGACAUAUCAGUUAUCAACACUAAAUUUAAUUUUUUAAUCAACACUUAACCAAACUAAACUGUAAUUUAAUUUACACUAAACGUACCGUAUAAAAAUAACAAUAACAAUGUCGUAAAUUAAAAACCAUCUUCCGUCUAUCCUCCGCAAAUCUCUCCAGCGCUAAUUCAGUAAACUUUCAACGAUUGUUGUUAACCAUCUGGCGAUAAACACUCAGCAAGCAGAGAGCACUCAAUCGCCGUUCAACCAUUGUUAGCCUCAGCCAAGUUUUCACCCGACGUAAUGUGCUGAACGAGCGUUCAAUCGUGCAUUUUGUACAGGGUAGAGCAAGUGCAAUUUUAAUUGCUUUCUCAGUCGCAGGGAAGAUACAACGGGCUUCAGCAAGCAGGUCUAUUAGAUCCAGCUCUUCCAAGUUUUUACGGUCUGCUCUCAUGCUGCUACAAUGUUGAUACCAGACUUCCAACAAAAUUGUCAACCUUGUAAAAAAAUACGAAAGCCUCGGUUUUGCGCUUGAACUCUUCCAACGACAUGCGUAUUACGUUAGCGGGAUGCAGCAAGGACAACGCGUAGGCAUGUGCACUAUCUUCACCGAACCGUGUAUCUAGUGAGGUUACAAGAGAAUCAAGAUGUUUCUAUGGGCUAAAGAUGUCGUUUUGUGCUAUUAGACGCCCCCCCCCCCUGCCUCCCCUCUGGCUACGCCUAUGCUGUAGUUGCAGGUUUUUGUCAAACUAUAAUGAAAGUAUCUCCGAGCAGAACGAUGUUGAAGUCAACAUCGCACGACGACGAAUGCAAAACAGCGCCCCUCGCAGCUUGGAAGAAUACAAAUACGACCACUCACAAAGAGAAAUGUGCCAGAUGGCUGGCAAGUGAUGAUAUCUUCCGGUUG